GACUCCACAUGCUUAUACAUUUCGAAAACCCUUGUUGCUCUCUCUAUAUAUACUUGUAAACCUCAUCAGUUAUUAAUUAAUGGAGUUUUGAGUAUUCUCUCUCUACUUAUUCUCUUAAUCUCUUUAAUCUUACACAAAACAGUAUGAUUGUUCUUAAGCUUGUUUAGAAACACUCUAAUACACAAAAGUGUAUAUGGUAUCAGAGCCAGGUUGCUGUAAAAGGAGAGAGUGAUUUCGUUUUUCUUGAGUGUUCUUUAGUGUUCUUGAGAGUUCUUGAGAUUUUUCAAGAGCUAGAUCCUUUAAAAUUCGAGUUUGUGUCUGUUGGUGUUUCUUUUGGAGAGUCAGCUUCAAGGGAGUCCUUUUAGGUGUUUGACAAGGUCAGAAGAGGGGUCUAGCUUGUGGUUAAGCUUAGCGUGGGAGAUUAGAAGCAUUUGAGGGAAGAUCUAGGCUAAAGAAGAUGGAGCUGCUUCAAUCUGGUACAACAAGGUGUGAAGAGAAGAAAGAGAGAGGGAUUGAGUGGGGGUGGUUCUCACAAAUGAAAACAACUCUGAAAAGGUGUGG
rnacentral:lncRNA from 1 species